GCUGCCGACAUGGCGGCUGCUCCUCAGGCGGGGACCCCAAGAGCGGUGGGCGCUGCCGGGCGUCUCAGGGCUCGGCCUCGGCCUCGAAAGUCACUCGCUGGGCCCUCUACCAAGGCUCUCCCGGCUGAAAGCGUGAACCUGGGCCUCAGGCCGUGGAACACCACUGCUGGGUGGGUGGUACCCCAUAUGGGCACGUGGUCCGCCCCUGCCCCGCCUCAGCUGCAGGAUGGACGUGGAGGAGGAGCUCGUGCUCCCUGCCUGUGGCCUGGGAAAGCAGUGGAG